rnacentral:rRNA from 1 species
UACAGAGGGGCAAGCGUUAUUCGGAAUUAUUGGGCGUAAAGGGCGCGUAGGCGGCUUGGCAAGUGGAAGGUGAAAUCCCUCGGCUUAACCGAGGAACUGCCCUCCAAACUGCUUCGCUUGAGACCGGGAGAGGUGAGUGGAAUUCCCAGUGUAGCGGUGAAAUGCGUAGAUAUUGGGAGGAACACCAGUGGCGAAGGCGGCUCACUGGACCGGUACUGACGCUGAUGCGCGAAAGCGUGGGGAGCAAACGGG